GAUGAACGCUAGCGGCAGGCUUAAUACAUGCAAGUCAAGGGGGUAGCAAUACAACCGGCGCACGGGUGAGUAACACGUACACAACAUACCAUAUACUGAGGUAUAGCUUCGGGAAACUGAAGGUAAUCCCUCAUAGUAUUGUGAAAGGGCAUCUUUUUACAAUUAAAGUUUCGACGGUAUAUGAUUGGUGUGCGUUUGAUUAGCUAGUUGGUAGGGUAACGGCCUACCAAGGCAACGAUCAAUAGCUGGCGUGAGAGCGCGACCAGCCACACUGGAACUGAGACACGGUCCAGACUCCUACGGGAGGCAGCAGUAGGGAAUAUUGGACAAUGGGCGAAAGCCUGAUCCAGCCAUGCCGCGUGAUAGAUGAAGGCCCUCUGGGUUGUAAAGCUCUUUUACCAGGGAUGAUAAUGACAGUACCUGGAGAAUAAGCUCCGGCUAACUCCGUG
rnacentral:rRNA from 1 species